rnacentral:rRNA from 1 species
AGCAUAUCAAUAAGCGCAGGAAAAGAAACCAACAGGGAUUACCUCAGUAACGGCGAGUGAAGCGGUAAUAGCUCAAAUUUGAAAUCUGGCCUCUUCGGGUCCGAGUUGUAAUUUGUAGAGGAUGUUUCGGGUACCGCCCCGGUCUAAAUUUCUUGGAACAGAAUGUCAAAGAGGGUGAGAGUCCCGUCUUGGACCGGCGGUAGGGCCUAUGUGAAACUCCUUCGACGAGUCGAGUUGUUUGGGAAUGCAGCUCAAAAUGGGUGGUAAAUUUCAUCUAAAGCUAAAUAUUGGCCAGAGACCGAUAGCGCACAAGUAGAGUGAUCGAAAGAUGAAAAGCACUUUGAAAAGAGAGUUAAACAGUAUGUGAAAUUGUUGAAAGGGAAGCGCUUGCAACCAGACUUGAGCGCGGCGGUUCCCCCAGCCUUUUGGCUGGGCUACUCCGUUGUGUCCAGGCCAACAUCGGUUCUGAGUGUCGGUUAAAGGCUCUGACAAUGUAUCUACCCACGGGUAGACUUAUAGGUCAGGGUGUCAUGCGGCACCUCGGGACCGAGGAACGCGCUUCGGCUCGGAUGUUGGCGUAAUGGUUGUCAGCGACCCGUCUUGAAACACGGA